rnacentral:rRNA from 1 species
AACGAACGCUGGCGGCAGGCUUAACACAUGCAAGUCGAGCGCCCCGCAAGGGGAGCGGCAGACGGGUGAGUAACGCGUGGGAAUCUACCCAUCUCUACGGAAUAACGCAUGGAAACGUGUGCUAAUACCGUAUACGUCCUUCGGGAGAAAGAUUUAUCGGAGAUGGAUGAGCCCGCGUUGGAUUAGCUAGUUGGUGGGGUAAAGGCCUACCAAGGCGACGAUCCAUAGCAGGUCUGAGAGGAUGAUCAGCCACACUGGGACUGAGACACGGCCCAGACUCCUACGGGAGGCAGCAGUGGGGAAUAUUGGACAAUGGGCGCAAGCCUGAUCCAGCCAUGCCGCGUGAGUGAUGAAGGCCCUAGGGUUGUAAAGCUCUUUCACCGGUGAAGAUAAUGACGGCAACCGGAGAAGAAGCCCCGGCUAACUUCGUGCCAGCAGCCGCGGUAAUAC